GCCCAACACACAAAACAAGCGGUGAGUGCUUUGGGGUGGGGUGACUGCGUACCUUUUGUAUAAUGGGUCAGCGACUUAUAUUCUGUAGCAAGGUUAACCGUAUAGGGGAGCCGAAGGGAAACCGAGUCUUAACUGGGCGUUAAGUUGCAGGGUAUAGACCCGAAACCCGGUGAUCUAGCCAUGGGCAGGUUGAAGGUUGGGUAACACUAACUGGAGGACCGAACCGACUAAUGUUGAAAAAUUAGCGGAUGACUUGUGGCUGGGGGUGAAAGGCCAAUCAAACCGGGAGAUAGCUGGUUCUCCCCGAAAGCUAUUUAGGUAGCGCCUCGUGAACUCAUCUUCGGGGGUAGAGCACUGUUUCGGCUAGGGGGUCAUCCCGACUUACCAACCCGAUGCAAACUGCGAAUACCGAAGAAUGUUAUCACGGGAGACACACGGCGGGUGCUAACGUCCGUCGUGAAGAGGGAAACAACCCAGACCGCCAGCUAAGGUCCCAAAGUCACAGUUAAGUGGGAAACGAUGUGGGAAGGCUCAGACAGCCAGGAUGUUGGCUUAGAAGCAGCCAUCAUUUAAAGAAAGCGUAAUAGCUCACUGGUCGAGUCGGCCUGCGCGGAAGAUGUAACGGGGCUAAACUGUGCACCGAAGCUGCGGCAGCGACGCUUAUGCGUUGUUGGGUAGGGGAGCGUUCUGUAAGCCUGCGAAGGUGUCCUGUGAGGGAUGCUGGAGGUAUCAGAAGUGCGAAUGCUGACAUAAGUAACGAUAAUGCGGGUGAAAAGCCCGCUCGCCGGAAGACCAAGGGUUCCUGUCCAACGUUAAUCGGGGCAGGGUGAGUCGACCCCUAAGGCGAGGCCGAAAGGCGUAGUCGAUGGGAAACGGGUUAAUAUUCCCGUACUUGGUGUUACUGCGAAGGGGGGACGGAGAAGGCUAUGUUGGCCGGGCGACGGUUGUCCCGGUUUAAGCGUGUAGGCUGGUUUUCCAGGCAAAUCCGGAAAAUCAAG
rnacentral:rRNA from 1 species